rnacentral:lncRNA from 1 species
GGGCCCGGGAAGCCCCUUCCUUCAGAUCUCUUACCUUCCUCCAAAUCGGGGUCCUCUGUCUCUCCCUCCCAUCUCUCCCUUUCCCAGAGCUGCGACUGGGCCUAUGGGCUAAGACUGUGCCCCGGGCAUAACAGCUCCAACAUCUGUUGCUUAAACUGCCUUGGAGAACCCUCCAUCCAUCUCCCAUGUGUGGUGACUUUUCUCCCAUGUGUGGUGACUCCCAAGUGUUGGUCUCUUGAGUCCUGCAAAGCACGAAGUGGGCGCCAGCCCAGCCUCCUCCCGGGACCCGCCCCCACGGGACCCAGCCAGUCCCCGCCCUCCGCACCCACCGGCUCCUCUCUUCCCUUCCGCUACCGCACAGGGCCGACCCGCCUCCAGCCAGAGGCACGGGGACCCUGCAACUGUGGCUAGAGUUUCAGGUGUCUGAUGCACGCUGAAGCUUGAGGAUCACGGAUUGAAUGGCGAAGAGAUUGUGCGGCUUAAAAACCUGCUCCAGGGUAAUGCGGCGGUCUCUGGCCGAGAGGAACCCUUGUGAAUGAGCAGGACUCAGCUCGGGUUUUCCCUUUAAGGGACUCGCUCCAGGUGCUGGCUUCGCCUCCUCACAGAGCCGCUUCCCCGACGACCCCCGCCAUGUGCACCACCCCCCUUUCCCGCCAUUGCCUCCCCACCCACCGCAAGGGCGGAAGGAAGCACGCCUCUGAGUGUGCUCAUCCCCCUAUCCGCCUACCAAGACAGGGGACCCCACUUACCCCCAAACAUCACCUUGAUAAACAUAGCUGCAGCGGGUGAGGGAGAUGUGGGGGGCUUUGAUCCCCCAACUCUCGAUUCCCCAACUAAGGAAAAGCG